UUGAGCUGCUGCUUCUUGUCCUUUGCUAUAGAAACUGCUGCUGUUAUAUUUGGAUUAAUAUUUGAAUAUGAAUGUGUAUAAGAAAAUAUUUUUAAAUAAGGAUUAUGAGUUUGAAGUUGACUAUAAUUUAGUUUGCAUCAUUUGUGUCUGGUGCUGGGUUGAAGCCUUUAGGAUGAUUUGACUUCAGUCACAGAAAGUCUGAAUAAAGGAGAAGUCACUGUGGAUCGUCUCUGCAGCAGGAAGAGAAACUAUGGAAACUGAUCUGUGACCAGCAUUUUAUUCACUUUGUAGGAGCCAUAGCUGGACAAGGAUCAUUUUUCUUUGAAGUUAUAACCGCAGGAAUGAAGUGAUAUUUUCACUAGUGCUUCUCUGUCAUAUGAACCUGCAAAAUAAGAACUCAUGUGGUGAAGUAUGAGAUAAUCUAUGGGCUCAAACUGUGGUGAUAAAUAUUUUGUACAUGUAAAUCAGACUGCGUAGUUGUGAAACGAGUUUUGUAACCAUCCUUAGAUGAGUAUUUGUGUGUGUCCAAAAACGAUUUGUGUUUGUAAAAAAUAUUUACACAAGUUAUACAUUUUCUUUGUUACGGUCUGGUUACAGAUACAAAGCAAAAAACUACGUGUAAAACUCUGCAAUCAAGUUCCCUCGGUUGGAUGCUGACCAAAGGAUGAUGAUGGAGGAAGAGGACGACAGAGCAGAGUCUGUAGGAUCCAGCUGUGCGUCUGUGAGGAGUGACAGGUCCAAAGAUCCACCUCCAGGCUCCAGGAGUGGACCAACAAAAGGGAGGAAGAGGAGCGGUGUUUGUGAGGAGGAGCAGCCGUCCUGCUGUGCUUUGUGUCAGGACGUCCUGAAGGAUCCAGUCUCUACCAGCUGUGGACACUGGUUCUGCAGACAGUGCAUCUCCUCAUACUGGGACCAGUCUGCUUCAU